rnacentral:misc_RNA from 1 species
GUAGGUGAACCUGCGGAAGGAUCAUUACCGAGUUCAGGGUGUCUAAUCGACGCCCGACCUCCAACCCUCUGUCUACAAACAAUGUUGCCUCGGCGGGCCGCGGGCCUCUGAUUUUUAGAGCCUUGGCUCUGAUUUUUAGGGACCUCGCCUCUGGCUUUCGGGCCCUUGAGCGCCCGUCGGUGGACCUUCACAAACUCUUGAAAAAUCAGUCUUCUGAGCGAGAAUUUAAUACUUCAAAACUUUCAACAAC